AAAUAAUAAUUAAAAGAGAUACAAAAAUAUUGUCAAACUGAAAACAAGAAAACCAUUGCCAGUCCAAAUGAGCUUCAAAUUGCCGUUUUAAU